UCAGUUUACAGCAGAGGCAAGACGAUGCCUGAAGCAGGUGGCAAGGAGUGAAAGGGGAGUGUGCAUGGAAGCAGCAGGUCAGAGCCAGAGUUUAUCAUGAAAGUCUGAGCCCUCGCAAACAUGGUUCAUGCACAACCCAUAAAAUUUCAUCAAACUCUCAGUCUCAAAAAUUUGUGUAGGAAGAGCCUGACAUGAAUGCUGCAAAUACAUGAUUAUUAUUCCUAGACAUAUCUAAGGGCAUCUAAAAUUAUAAAAUUUAUAGUGAUAUUGCUUAAAUUACAUUUUUGAAUAUCUCACUCAUACAUGUAUUACCUAUAUUAUUAUACUGUUAAUUAUACCUUCAUUGAUUUUUUUUAAAUUUUAUUCUUUUGUUUUAAGUUUAGAUGUGGAUGCAUUUUCUAAAAACUACAAGAUUACCCAAACAGAACCGAUUGAAUUUCAAGGAGCAAUCAAAUGCAGAGGAAUGAAAGUCAAACACGGAGAAAAAUGCUGAUGGAUUGGGCAAUGUGCAUGGCUCUCUGGGACCAUCAUUAUUUCAGUAUUCAAGAGGAAAAUGCACAUUUGAAAGAUGGUAAAUUCCAUCACAUACAAUCAAUCAUUCAUCUCCUCUAGCAACAAUAAUUGUGGAGGAGAUAGUGUUCAGACAUUAACUAGGUAGUCAUCCCUGCUUGUUUGUUAGUUUGUUUCAAGGCAUACUAAAUCUUAUGCAACGUUAUGUGGACAUCUCAGAUGAUUUUCAGAUAUUGGUACUUAGUACCAAUCACCUGCAAAUAAUGAGGUCAAAGUAAACACUGCAACCUCAAAGGGCAAGAUGCUUAGCAUUGUCUUUCAUCUAAAACAUUUUGUCCUUUCAUUCCAGAUUUUAAAAAUAGGUUAUCUGCCUGCAUUUUAUGCAUUUUUCUAUCUUUAUAAUCUGAAGGUGAUUUUAUUAAUACAGUAAAUCUUGGUCAAGUGAUACUUUAGGAAGAUGCUUUUUCUGGGUAAACUAAAAGCCUGACGUGGCUCUUCCUGAUGUUCUUAAAUAUUUUAUUAGCAAUGUCUCUCCUCACCCCUUGCCUAUUCAUAGUCUCUUUCAGUUUAAUGAUAUAAAGCAGGUGGUAGGGUUGUCAAAACUGGGUUUCCAUUAGAAACAAUCUCUGGGAAUGUGGUGUAUUUUCUCCCUUAUUUUUCUCAUUAUUAGAUAUCUCAGGCUCAAAGGCCCAUAUGGCAGUUUGGAGAAAGAUAUGUCCUGUUCAAAACCAAUGUUCUGAGAGUUUGAGAGCCGUGAAAUCAGAUAUCAUAGUUUUUACACUUUUUCAAAGCUUUCAAUUGUGAAUUCUGGAUUUCUCUUUUUCUUUCGAACUCUGAAAAAAGCCCAAUCUCUAACAGCACCUCCCCUCCCACCCCCUUCUGGUACUGGCUGUAGCAGUACUUAGGAAGGGAAGAGUGUCUUACAGGAGGUGGAGACACAUUUAUACACCAGUCUUCAUGCUUGGGAAAAAGCGAUUUAGUCACUGUUAACUUCUUUAAUUAUUGAUGGUUCAGAAAAUGUUAUCUUUCUUAUCUUUUAUUUGUAACACUUUUCCCUAAAUAAAAGUGAGGCUGGAUAUUCAAAUUAUUAUUUAGUGCAAGAAACUAAAAAUAGCUUUCCCUCUUUUUAGAUUUUUUUUGACAACAGAGAUGAUACAUUAUAUGUGUAUAUUUUACCUUAAUAAAAAGACUUAAAAAAAAAGAAAAUUAAAGAGAAAAAUAGAAAGAAAGGUAGGAAAGGCAUAGAAGGGGAUAUGACACUUUAGAAUCUCCUAGCUUAGAAUGUGACAGAAGGAGAGUGUUAGUAAAACUGAGGAGGCUGGGUGCGGUAGCUCACGCCUGUAAUCCUAGCAAUUUGGGAGGACGAGGUGGGCUGAUCACUUGAGGUGAGGAGUUUAAGACCAGCCUGGCUAACAUGGUGAAACCCCAUCUCUACUAAAAAUACAAAAAAUUAGCUGGGCAUGGUGGCAGGCCCCUGUAAUCCCAGCUACUCGGGAGGCUGAGACAAGAGAAUCACUGGAAUCCGGGAGGUGGAGGUUGCAGUGAGCUGAGAUCGACCCAUUGCAUUCCAGCCUGGGCAACAAGAGUGAAACUCCAUCUCAGAAAAAAAAAAAAAAAAAAAAAAAAAAAAGAGGGCCAUUCCCUGCUUUAUUUGACAUAAUCUAAAAGCUCCUAUCAUUUCCUCCUUUUAAAACCUUUUAUUGAAAUACAAUAUACACACAGAAAUGGGCACAUAUCAUAAGUACAUAGCUGGAUGCAUUUUCACAAGCUCACACACCAGGUAAUCAAUACCCCAGACCAAAACAAACAAACAAACAAACAAACAAACAAGAAGCAGGCCUAACAGCAUCCAGAAGCCCUCCUCGUGUUUCCUUCCAGUUACUACCCCUCUCUCCCAAGGGUGACUGCUAUCCCAACUUCCA
rnacentral:lncRNA from 10 species